GAUGAACGCUGGCGGCGUGCCUAAUACAUGCAAGUCGAACGGAAAGGCGCGGCGCUUGCGGGUCUGUCGUUAGCGGAAGACGGGUGAGAAACACGUGGAUACCCUCCCUGUAAUUCUGGGAAAACUUCGGAAAACGGGCGCUAAUCCCGGAUGAUCUCCUGAACCGCAUGGGGGGAUGGUAAAUUUCGGCGGUUGGGGAUGGACUCGCUGGUUACGCGCCGCUUGGGGUGGUAGUGGCUUACCAAGGCUUUGACGGGUAGCCGGCCUGAGAGGGUUACCGGCCACAUUGGGACUGAGAUACGGCCCAGACUCCUACGGGAGGCAGCAGUGGGGAAUAUUGCACAAUGGGCGGAAGCCUGAUGCAGCAACGCCGCGUGCGGGAUGACGGCCUUCGGGUUGUAAACCGCUUUCGCCUGUGACGAAGCGUGAGUGACGGUAAUGGGUAAAGAAGCACCGGCUAACUACGUG
rnacentral:rRNA from 1 species